GGGGUUUUAGCUCAGCGGUAGAGCGCUUGCCUAGCAAGCGCAAGGCCCUGGGUUCGGUCCCCAGCUCCG
rnacentral:tRNA from 1 species